AUCCCAGAUAAAUCCUCGCUAUGUUUGUGUGAUCCAUUGGAGGCAAACAUUGACAGUAAAUGUUUUGCUGAUAGCACCUUUCUUUGUUGUUUUUGGAGGUGUUUUAAUAGUAUUUUUCUAUACAUGA